ACAACCGCAAAAUCGGUUGUCGGGAUUGGUCUCCCGGAUGAAAAAGGCGGCAAUAGGCGCGCUCGCGUCUUUUUU
rnacentral:sRNA from 1 species